UUCCGUGCAACAGCAUCCGAUGGGGGGAUAAGCCAUUGGUGGUGGAGGACAAGGUUCUGGAACCUUUGGUGGUGGUGGUGGUGGUGGUUCUUUUGGUUUCUCAGGUUCCUUAGGCUUUUCGGGUUCUUUCGGCUUUUCGGGUUGUUUCGGUUUCUCGGGUUCUUUGGGUUUUUCGGGUUCUUUCGGCUUUUCGGGUUGUUUAGGUUUCUCGGGUUCUUUGGGUUUUUCGGGUUCUUUUGGUUUUUCUGGUGCUUUAGGCUUUUCGGGUUCUUUUGGUUUUUCUGGUACUUUAGGCUUCUCAGGUUCUUUGGGUUUUUCAGGUUCUUUGGGCUUUUCGGGUUCUUUAGGCUUCUCAGGCUCCUUGGGUUUGGGAGGAGGAGGUGGAGGUUUGAUCUCAAUGCUCUUGAUUGAUCCAGCACCCUUGCAACAUAUCUUGUCCCUCAGCUUCUCAGGAUUGCAGCAUACCACG
rnacentral:lncRNA from 1 species